rnacentral:rRNA from 1 species
ACGAACGCUGGCGGCAUGCCUAACACAUGCAAGUCGAACGAGACCUUCGGGUCUAGUGGCGCACGGGUGCGUAACGCGUGGGAACCUGCCCUUAGGUUCGGAAUAACUCCCCGAAAGGGGUGCUAAUACCGGAUAAUGUCUUCGGACCAAAGAUUUAUCGCUUUUGGAUGGGCCCGCGUUGGAUUAGCUAGUUGGUAGGGUAAAAGCCUACCAAGGCGACGAUCCAUAGCUGGUCUGAGAGGAUGAUCAGCCACACUGGGACUGAGACACGGCCCAGACUCCUACGGGAGGCAGCAGUGGGGAAUAUUGGACAAUGGGCGAAAGCCUGAUCCAGCAAUGCCGCGUGAGUGAUGAAGGCCUUAGGGUUGUAAAGCUCUUUUACCCGGGAUGAUAAUGACAGUACCGGGAGAAUAAGCUCCGGCUAACUCCGUG